UAAUUGCAAACGCCCGCGCUCACGGAUCCACGAAGGUCGCUGGCCCCAAAGAAGGAAGACGUUUAACUCGGAAACGACAGUACGACGCCCGGCUUUAAAGUGCGCCGAUGGUCCAAACGGAGAUUCCCGGAAACCGUGUAACGUCACGCGAAAUCCGCACCGAAUAAGUUUUCUUGGAGUGUGAAACAAACCGCGUUUGAGCGGCUGGCAAAGCGUGUACCGUUAGACAACCUUGAACUCAAGGCAAACUUGCGCGCAAGAUGCGCCGGCGUCUUCGAGAGCGUUCUGUCGUCUCCUCUGUUCACCCUCCCUCCGGGACCAUAUACCGUACUUUCCCUGUAUAAGAACGUCCGCGUCGCCUCCCGCGGGGUGAAGGAGCCCCCUUCUACGUCCCCAUUUUCCUAUUGCUCCCUCCUCCUGCUUUAUUUUUCUUUAAUCUGAAGAUGAUGUCGCGGCCCGAUAAAGCAGCGGCGGCAGCAGACACUCCAGUGCCAUCUGCAACAGGCUCGAAAGCGGGAAAGAACGCUGGCUCCGGUUCAAGGAAAUCAGCGGCGUGAGGUGAAAGGAAUGUGGUCGAUGACUAAAAAUGCUGGCCA